UGGGGAAUAUUGCACAAUGGGCGCAAGCCUGAUGCAGCCAUGCCGCGUGUAUGAACAAGGCCUUCGGGUUGUAAAGUACUUUCAGCGGGGAGGAAGGCGAUAAGGUUAAUAACCUUGUCGAUUGACGUUACCCGCAGAAGAAGCACCGGCUAACUCCGUGCCAGCAGCCGCGGUAAUACGGAGGGUGCAAGCGUUAAUCGGAAUUACUGGGCGUAAAGCGCACGCAGGCGGUCUGUCAAGUCGGAUGUGAAAUCCCCGGGCUCAACCUGGGAACUGCAUUCGAAACUGGCAGGCUAGAGUCUUGUAGAGGGGGGUAGAAUUCCAGGUGUAGCGGUGAAAUGCGUAGAGAUCUGGAGGAAUACCGGUGGCGAAGGCGGCCCCCUGGACAAAGACUGACGCUCAGGUGCGAAAGCGUGGGGAGCAAACA
rnacentral:rRNA from 1 species